CGGGGCGUAGGUCAUCGGCAGACCGCUCGCAUGGGGUGCGAGAGGCAGUGGGUUCAAUUCCCGCCGCCCCGA
rnacentral:tRNA from 1 species